CCCCCCUGAGUAACACGUGGGUGAUCUGCCUUGCACUUUGGGAUAAGCCUGGGAAACUGGGUCUAAUACCGGAUAGGACCACGGCAUGCAUGUGCUGUGGUGGAAAGCUUUUGCGGUGUGGGAUGGGCCCGCGGCCUAUCAGCUUGUUGGUGAGGUUACGGCUCACCAAGGCGACGACGGGUAGCCGGCCUGAGAGGGUGUCCGGCCACACUGGGACUGAGAUACGGCCCAGACUCCUACGGGAGGCAGCAGUGGGGAAUAUUGCACAAUGGGCGCAAGCCUGAUGCAGCGACGCCGCGUGAGGGAUGACGGCCUUCGGGUUGUAAACCUCUUUCGCCAGGGACGAAGCGCAAGUGACGGUACCUGGAGAAGAAGCACCGGCCAACUACGUGCCAGCAGCCGCGGUAAUACGUAGGGUGCGAGCGUUGUCCGGAAUUACUGGGCGUAAAGAGCUCGUAGUGGUUUGUCGCGUUGUUCGUGAAAACUCACAGCCUUAACUGUGGGCCGUGCGGGCGAUACGGGCCAGACUGGAGUACUGCCAGGGGGAGACUGGAAAUCCCUGGGUGUUAAGCCGGGGGGAAUGCGCCAGAUAUCCAGGAGGGAACACCGGGUGGGCGAAAGGCGGGUCUCUGGGGCAGUAACUGACGCUGAAAGAACCAAAGCGUGGGGGACCGAACCAGGAUUUAAAUACCCUGGGUAGUCCC
rnacentral:rRNA from 1 species